GCAAAUCUACAUACCAGCAGCUGCCUU
rnacentral:piRNA from 1 species